AGUGAACGCUGGCGGUAGGCCUAACACAUGCAAGUCGAACGGCAGCACAGUAAGAGCUUGCUCUUACGGGUGGCGAGUGGCGGACGGGUGAGGAAUACAUCGGAAUCUACUUUUUCGUGGGGGAUAACGUAGGGAAACUUACGCUAAUACCGCAUACGACCUACGGGUGAAAGCAGGGGAUCUUCGGACCUUGCGCGAUUGAAUGGGCCGAUGUCGGAUUAGCUAGUUGGCGGGGUAAAGGCCCACCAAGGCGACGAUCCGCAGCUGGUCUGAGAGGAUGAUCAGCCACACUGGAACUGAGACACGGUCCAGACUCCUACGGGAGGCAGCAGUGGGGAAUAUUGGACAAUGGGCGCAAGCCUGAUCCAGCCAUACCGCGUGGGUGAAGAAGGCCUUCGGGUUGUAAAGCCCUUUUGUUGGGAAAGAAAAGCAGCAGGUUAAUACCCCGCUGUUCUGACGGUACCCAAAGAAUAAGCACCGGCUAACUUCGUG
rnacentral:rRNA from 1 species